AGACCCGAAACCCGGUGAUCUAGCCAUGGGCAGGUUGAAGGUUGGGUAACACUAACUGGAGGACCGAACCGACUAAUGUUGAAAAAUUAGCGGAUGACCUGUGGCUGGGGGUGAAAGGCCAAUCAAACCGGGAGAUAGCUGGUUCUCCCCGAAAGCUAUUUAGGUAGCGCCUCGUGAAUUCAUCUCCGGGGGUAGAGCACUGUUUCGGCUAGGGGGCCAUCCCGGCUUACCAACCCGAUGCAAACUGCGAAUACCGGAGAAUGUUAUCACGGGAGACACACGGCGGGUGCUAACGUCCGUCGUGAAGAGGGAAACAACCCAGACCGCCAGCUAAGGUCCCAAAGUCAUGGUUAAGUGGGAAACGAUGUGGGAAGGCCCAGACAGCCAGGAUGUUGGCUUAGAAGCAGCCAUCAUUUAAAGAAAGCGUAAUAGCUCACUGGUCGAGUCGGCCUGCGCGGAAGAUGUAACGGGGCUAAACCAUGCACCGAAGCUGCGGCAGCGAACGUAUCACCCAAGACAACUUUACGGAGUUGACGAUUGACGGAGCGAAGC
rnacentral:rRNA from 2 species